rnacentral:rRNA from 1 species
GACGAACGCUGGCGGCGUGCCUAAUACAUGCAAGUAGAACGCACAGUUUAUACCGUAGCUUGCUACACCAUAGACUGUGAGUUGCGAACGGGUUAGUAACGCGUAGGUAACCUGCCUGGUAGCGGGGGAUAACUAUUGGAAACGAUAGCUAAUACCGCAUAAUAUUAAUUAUUGCAUGAUAAUUAAUUGAAAGGUGCAAUUGCACCACUACCAGAUGGACCUGCGUUGUAUUAGCUAGUAGGUGAGGUAACGGCUCACCUAGGCGACGAUACAUAGCCGACCUGAGAGGGUGAGCGGCCACACUGGGACUGAGACACGGCCCAGACUCCUACGGGAGGCAGCAGUAGGGAAUCUUCGGCAAUGGACGAAAGUCUGACCGAGCAACGCCGCGUGAGUGAAGAAGGUUGUCGGAUCGGAAAGCUCUGUUGUAAGAGAAGAACGGGUGUGAGAGUGGAAAGUUCACACUGUGACGGUAGCUUACCAGAAAGGGACGGCUAACUACGUG